GUCGUACGCUUCUUUUUCCACCGGAGCUUGCUCCACCGGAAAAAGAAGAGUGGCGAACGGGUGAGUAACACGUGGGUAACCUGCCCAUCAGAAGGGGAUAACACUUGGAAACAGGUGCUAAUACCGUAUAACAAUCGAAACCGCAUGGUUUUGAUUUGAAAGGCGCUUUCGGGUGUCGCUGAUGGAUGGACCCGCGGUGCAUUAGCUAGUUGGUGAGGUAACGGCUCACCAAGGCCACGAUGCAUAGCCGACCUGAGAGGGUGAUCGGCCACAUUGGGACUGAGACACGGCCCAAACUCCUACGGGAGGCAGCAGUAGGGAAUCUUCGGCAAUGGACGAAAGUCUGACCGAGCAACGCCGCGUGAGUGAAGAAGGUUUUCGGAUCGUAAAACUCUGUUGUUAGAGAAGAACAAGGAUGAGAGUAACUGUUCAUCCCUUGACGGUAUCUAACCAGAAAGCCACGGCUAACUACGUGCCAGCAGCCGCGGUAAUACGUAGGUGGCAAGCGUUGUCCGGAUUUAUUGGGCGUAAAGCGAGCGCAGGCGGUUUCUUAAGUCUGAUGUGAAAGCCCCCGGCUCAACCGGGGAGGGUCAUUGGAAACUGGGAGACUUGAGUGCAGAAGAGGAGAGUGGAAUUCCAUGUGUAGCGGUGAAAUGCGUAGAUAUAUGGAGGAACACCAGUGGCGAAGGCGGCUCUCUGGUCUGUAACUGACGCUGAGGCUCGAAAGCGUGGGGAGCAAACAGGAUUAGAUACCCUGGUAGUCCACGCCGUAAACGAUGAGUGCUAAGUGUUGGAGGGUUUCCGCCCUUCAGUGCUGCAGCUAACGCAUUAAGCACUCCGCCUGGGGAGUACGACCGCAAGGUUGAAACUCAAAGGAAUUGACGGGGGCCC
rnacentral:rRNA from 1 species